UACAGAGGGUGCAAGCGUUAAUCGGAAUUACUGGGCGUAAAGCGUGCGUAGACGGUUAUUUAAGUCAGGUGUGAAAGCCCCGGGCUCAACCUGGGAAUUGCAUUUGAGACUGAAUAGCUAGGGUGCGGAAGAGGGAAGCGGAAUUUCCGGUGUAGCGGUGAAAUGCGUAGAUAUCGGAAGGAACACCAGUGGCGAAAGCGGCUUCCUGGUCCAGCACAGACGUUCAGGCACGAAAGCGUGGGGAGCAAACAGG
rnacentral:rRNA from 1 species